GACAAGCACUGUAAAUUCUUACUUUGGUGCUAAGUAUCUCUCACCGAGUACUGGGAUAGUUCUUAACAAUGAAAUGGAUGACUUCUCCGCUCCUGCAAAACGUUCCGAGAAUGUUCCACCACCAGCACCAGCAAAUUUUAUCCAUCCAGGCAAAAGACCAUUGUCAUCAAUGACACCUACUAUUGUUCUCAAGGGCGGACAAUUGGGAGCUGUUGUUGGUGCAAGUGGAGGAGCAAUGAUCAUUGCUGGUACAAUUGAGGUUUUUCUGAAUCAUUUUGCAAGGGGAAUGGAUCCCUUCGCUUCUG
rnacentral:misc_RNA from 1 species